GUGCUCGUAGCUCAACUGGAUAGAGCGCAGCCCUGCGAAGGCUGAGGUUGUGGGUUCAAAUCCCACCGGGCGCG
rnacentral:tRNA from 1 species